GCGGAUGUAGCUCAGUCAGUAGAGUACUUACCUUGCAUGUACAAGGUCCUGGGUUCAAUCUCCAGCACCGCA
rnacentral:tRNA from 1 species